UAUAAAAUCCCUAAACUUUUCCUGCUUGCGUGAUUCCCUCCUUGGUCGGGUUCUUGCGAUUGAACCGGGUCCCAGAUCGCUCAACGGUUCCUGAUCGUCUCCUUCUUCCCCAAUAUCGCAACUCUGGUCAUCUGCACUGCGAAUCCGGUCGAUGUCCGCUCUGAUGGCUUCAAGAUCAAUUGGCGUCGGUUCCACCUCUUCUAGGCGUGCAUCAUCACUUACCCUUUGAAAUUUGACAUUGUCCCCAAUGUUGAUAGAAGGAAAAAGACUUGCAAUGUCACAUCAAAUUCCCAAGAAACAUUCUCUGGAACAACCCCAUUCCACAAUAACAGUACUUGAUUUCUCUGUUUUCCACCUUGUAAAAUACUCCUUUUAUCUAAGAUUGCAAUAGGAUAACUGAUAGGUUUAUUAUUCACAGUUACAAUUGCUUGAUUGUCUAUAGGUUUUUCAGGUAUCGGCCCACAAAAUCUUUUCAGUUUGGGCACAUGAAAUGUUGAGUGUAUCUUACUCCCCUCAGGUAGCUCUAAUAUGUAAGCGAUUUGGUUUAUUUUUUUGCAAAUCUUGUAAGGUUCGAAAUUUUUUUUGCAGAAUUUAUUAUGCAUUCUUUAUACCACAGAAAUUUGUCUAUAAGGUUGUAGUUGUACAAAAACCCAAUCCCCCACUUCAAAGGAGAUUUCAGUUCUCUUUUUAUCCGAUUGAUUUUUCAUCCUUGAUUGAGUUUUCACCUGAUUCUUUUUUAUCAUCUCUAAUGUUUCUUCUCUGAGUUGAAGUUCUCUGUCUACUGCAAGAACUUGAGAUUCCCCUGAGUUAUAGUGUAAAAUUUCAUUAGCCUCUCUCCUAUACAAUACCUUGUAGGGACUUGCUCCUAUUGCUGAAUGGAAACUCGAAUUAUACCAAAGUUCUGCCCAGUGCAGCAACUUUAACCACAUUUUAGGAUGUUCAUGACAAUAAGCUCUCAAGUACAUCUCUACUGUUCUAUUAACUACCUCAGACUGGCCAUCAGAUUGUGGAUGAUAAGCUGAAGAAAAGUUUAAUUUAGUUCCACUUAAUGUGUCAAUAUCCCUCCAGAAUUUGGAUAAAAAUAUUUUGUCUCUAUCAGAUACAAUAGACUUUGGGAUGCCAUGUAAUUUAAUUAUUUCUCUAGUGAAUACCUCGGCAACUUUAGAAGCAUUGAAAUUAGGAUGAAGUGGGCAAAUGAGCAUAUUUAGAUAACCUGUCCACCACAACCAUUAAAACAGUAUUACCUUUCACUCGAGGGAGAUUUGUGAUAAAAUCCAUACUGAUAUCCUCCCAAACUCGAGAUGGAAUAGGUAAUGGUACUAGUAAUCCAGCCAUUUUAGAAUUAGAUGGUUUGAUCUGUUGGCAUAUCAAACACUCCUUAACAUAUUGCUUUAUGAUCUUCCCCAUAUUAUGCCAAAAGAAUGUUUUAGCAAUUCUUUUCCAUGUUCUGUGAAAACCCGAAUGGCCUCCAAAUUGGGAGUCAUGAAAUUCAUACAAAAUCUUCUUUAUAAAAGUAGAAUCCUCAUUCACAUAAUAUCUGUUUUUAAAUAAUAAAAUCCCAUUUCUGACAGAAUACCCCACUGUUAUAUUAUCACAAUCAGUAUAUUUGGUGAUUAAUGCUCUGGAAUUCAAAUCAAUGUUGUUUUCCCUUUUCAAGCAUAGAAAAUCAGCUUGAGACAAAAAUAAGACAAUUCAAACCGAUGAGGGUGGUGAAUUCACAAGUAAUGAAUUUUAAAAAAAUUUGGCUAAAAAAGGGAUCACUACUCAUAGGUUCUCAUGCCUAUACACUCCCCAAUAGAAUGGAAUUGUAGAAAGAAAACAUAGUCACCUUCUUAAAACAGAAUGUUUUAUCACUCGGGGGCACCUAAAACACUAUGGCAUGAGGUGAUUAGCGUGCACAACCUGUUUUUUAAUUAACAAGCUGCCUAGUUCAGUAUUAGGCAAUCUUUCACCCUAUGAAGUUUUAACAAAAAGGAAACCAGAUUAUAAAAAUUUAAGGGAAUUUGGGUGUGCAUGUUUUCCCUUAAUAGCUAAAGGUCUAAGAAAUAAAUUUGAACCCACAUCACACAAGUGUGUGUUUAUGAGAUGUUCAAAUGAACAUAAGGGUUAUAAAUGUUAUAAUCCAGAAAAUGGGAAAAUACUAGUAUCAAGAAAUAUGAAAUUCAAUGAACUAAAAUUCCCAUUUUUAGCGAAAGAAAACAAGGAAAUAAACAAGAAAAAAGAAAUGGCAAAAUCAACAACAUAUUCCAUUAUAUUACCCGCAAUGACAAUAGGAAAAGAAAUAACCCAAGGGAACAACAGUUUAAUACAACAAGGAAAUGGAUCUGAGAGUAGAAUAAACAGUAAUUCUAGAACAACUACUGAAAUUCAAACAACAAGAGAAACACCAAUACAGUGCAAUGAUUCUGGAAACUCAGUGAAUAUAGAAGAUCUCUCUUCUCAACUUCAGAACUUAAGCAUUAGUGGUAGUCAACCUGAAGUGACUAAAACUCAAAGGUAUCCUACUAGAGUAAAACAACCUUCUGUGUUACUCAAAGACUAUGAAUGCUCCUAUUCAGAACUAGACAGUGAUGAACCAACUUCAUUUAGUCAGGCAAACAAAGAUGAAAAAUGGAGGGAAGCAAUGGUAGAAGAGAUGAAUGCUCUCAAAAUAAAUGAUACAUGGAGUCUAGUUCCUCAAACGAGUGAUAUGAACAUUGUGGGAUGCAAAUGGGUGUUCAAAAUAAAAAAGAAGGCAGAUAGAACCCUAGAAAGAUAUAAAACAAGGUUAGUUGCUAAAGGAUAUAACCAGGAAGAAGGGGUUGAUUAUACCUCAACUUAUAGUCCAGUGGUUAGAAUGAACACAGUCAGGGCAAUUGUGUCAUUAGCCACUUCACACAGGUGGCAAUUAAGACAACUUGACAUUAAAAAUGUCUUUCUAAAUGGCUAUCUAAAUGAGGCAGUCUAUAUGAAGCAACCAACUGGGUUUAUAGAUAAGAAAUCACCUAAACAUGUGUGUCUUCUUCAUAAGGCCUUGUAUGGACUUAAACAAGCUCCUAGAUCUUGGUACUCCAGAUUACAAAAUUUUCUAACAGAGAAUGAUUUUUCCAACAGCAAAACAGAUAUACAUCUUUAUUUUUUAAAGUAAUUGGAGAGUUGAAGAUCUACAUACUAGUAUAUGUAGAUGACAUCAUAGUAACUGGUAACUCAUCACAAAUCAUAAAUGAGUGCAUUGAGAUGAUUUGCAAAAAGUUCUCAUGUAGAGAUUUAGGAAGUCUAAAUUUUUUCUUAGGGAUGGAGUGUAUAAGAGAAGGGAGUACUCUUAUUCUAAACCAGAGAAAUAUACAUUAGAAUAUACUCAAAAAGUUUGAAAUGACAGAAAGUAAGCCUUGUAAGACACUAUUGCAUCAACACCUAGACUAACAAAAGAAAUGGGAACACCUAUAGAGGAUCCAAAAGUUUAUAGAAAUAUAAUUGGAUCACUGCAAUAUCUUUUACUCUAACAAGGCCAGAUAUUGCAUUUCAUGUAAACCACUUGAGUCGGUUUUUACAAAUACCUACUGAGAUACACUUACAGGCUGCUAAAAGGGUAUUGAGAUAUGUCAAGGGAAGUAUCAACUUAGGACUUAGGUUUAAUUCCUCAGAUAGGUCAGAAAACACACUUAUAGCAUACUGUGAUAUAUUCAGAUUGGGGGAACAAUCCUGAUGACAGGAUUUCCAUAUCUGGAUCUAGCAUAUGGUUUGGAAAUAAUAUGAUAGCCUGGUCAGCUAAGAAACAAUCAACAGUAGCAAAAUCAAGUUGUAAGGUUGAAUAUAGGGCAUUAACAGGAGUAAUAUCAGAAAUAAAGUGGUUUUGCUAUCUAUUUAGAGAAUUAGGGAUGAAACUAGAUUCUUCACCACUAGUACUAUGUGAUAACGAAUCUGCCAUAUUUUUGGCAAAAAAUCCAAAUUCAAGUGGAAGAACAAGACACAUGGACAUCUCUAUACAUUUCAUUAGAGAACUAAUAAACAAAGGAGCAAUAAGGAUAGAGUAUAUUCCAUCCAACUAGUAACUUGCGGAUGGAUUCACAAAGAUACUAGGAACUGAAGAUUUUAGAAGGCAUAGGGACAAACACAAACUAAGUCCUAAUAAGAAAAAAGUAGACAUAAGAAAUUGAUCGUGUCCCUAAGGAAAGCCCACUGAUCGUAUAUUAUAAUUAUAAUAACAACUGUUCUCCCCCCUUUUACACUUCACCUCUAGGGGUAUUUAUACAGUUUUCUACCGGACUUUGGACCCUGCGUUCUCGAACUAAGAUCCGACCUAAAAGACCCGACAUGCUUGGGACACAACCCUUGGAGAAAUAACCGUCCGGGCCGAUGGAUCCGCCCGGUCGGGCGAGCACCCAUGAGGCGGCUUGGAUCUUCCUCUUUUGUUCACUUCGCUGGGCCUUGUUUCUGGACUCUUGCGUGGGCCUGGGCUAAUGGAUCAGGGGUACCAUCAGUACUCCCCCUUCCUCCUAUCCUAUAAAUAGGGUAUUUUCUUUCAUUUGAUUCAUUUCUCCUCAUUCAUCAUGUCUUCUCUUGAUGAUCUGUUGGAGGAGCUGGGAUGCGAGUUGGCGCGUCAGCGAGCAGCCUGGCUAGAUGAUCUCCUUCAACGUGUUUGCGACGCUCAGGAACUUUUUGCAGGUAAUCCUCGUCUGUCUCAUCUGAUUUCGGAGGUCCAGCAACGCGUUUGUGCUCUCUGGCGAGUCUCCAACAGAACCGGCAUUGUCAUUCUGGCAACGGCAACUGCUCCAGGUAACUGACUCCCUGCAACUGGUGCUCCGCCCGGGCUCCCUGUCCCUGCUGCUGUCCUCGGUGCGAUUCCAGCAACUGCUCCCCCCCCAAUGGGUUCCCUGCAACUGCCGCUACUGAGUUGUCUUCUACUGGGCGUUCUACCGCACCUGCUGCUCGUCGCCGUCGGGGACGCGGAUAACGUGCCAGACGCUCUAGUCUUCCAUCGAGUGACCUACGCUAUUUCCUUUCCCGCGGGCCGCCCUAACGGGCAUCUUUGAUGUUCUCCAUACGGGGGGCCUGCUUGUAUCUCAUUUUUUUUAAACGUAUUUGAACGUUUUUCUUGUUCCCCUGCAUUUCUCCUUGUGAUUCCUGCAAACUCGUUUGUGUUUAUCUUGUUUUUACGUACUGAUGUAAUUUACUUUUUUUCCUCCUAUUUUUUCUUAAAAAACAGUUUCUUUUUCCUCCAAGAAGUUUUUUUUAUUUUUAUUGCCGAAUUUAACUACUUGUUGAUCAGGGGUCUGGCAACUCCUUUCAAACUUUGACCGUGCUAUCAUUUCCCUCGGAUCCUAUGACCACCUAGUUCCCUACGUCUAUUCCCCGUACGGGCCAUUUGAGCAGGUAUACCCUCUACCAUUUUUCCCUAGGGUCUUGUGACGCCUACUUCCGACAGGACUAUAGUUAGUUUUUUUUAUUUUUUAUGGUUGCCUCCCUUCAGGUGCCUACCUUACGGCUCUUUUGCUCUACCUCCCUUAAGUAUCCGGGCUGGACAUGACAUAUGGGCUGAAAUGUACUUAUUCUUCCGUGCGGUCCAUCCGGCCCUGGGGUAUGGAAUUUUACCUUUCAGAAAAAUUUUUAAUUUCCCGCCAACAUUCUUCUAUAAAUUCGACUUUCACUCCCUUCACUUACUUUCAUUCAUUUACUUGCCAGAGCUAGGGUUUCUCUCCCGCUGAUCGCCGCGUCUUCUCCUAUGGCCAAUCUUAAUACCUUCAUAGACGAUAUGUCAUUUGACG
rnacentral:lncRNA from 1 species